rnacentral:rRNA from 1 species
GCUUGUCUCAAAGAUUAAGCCAUGCAUGUCUAAGUAUAAACUUUUUUACGGUGAAACUGCGAAUGGCUCAUUAAAACAGUUAUAGUUUAUUUGAUGGUCGCUCACUACAUGGAUAACCGUGGUAAUUCUAGAGCUAAUACAUGCGUCAAAACCUGACUUCUUGGAAGGGUUGUGUUUAUUAGAUACAGAACCAACCCAGGCUCCGCCUGGCCUUGAGGUGAUUCACAAUAACCGAACGAAUCGCAUAGCUGCCGCUGGCGAUAGACCAUUCAAGUUUCUGACCUAUCAGCUAUCGUCGGUAGGGUAUUGGCCUACCGUGGCAAUGACGGGUAACGGAGAAUUAGGGUUCGAUUCCGGAGAGGGAGCCUGAGAAACGGCUACCACAUCUAAGGAAGGCAGCAGG